GUGUAAUGUUUGUUUGGGUUUGCUUUGUCCGCCUACUGUGAUAAUUGUGAAAGUCGGAAGUGUUCGGAAUAGCAAUCGACCAACAUCUAAUGGUUCCCCGCUGCGGCCCCGGCCCGAGUAGUUUAAUGGAUCGCGUCGUGAUUGCAAGCUUCUGCCGAGACGCAUCCGGUAGGUCCACCGUCCACGUCACAGCCGCCGCAACCAGACGUCGGGUUUCCCUCAGGGAAAUUUUACAGGAUCCGCCCACCGGUCAUACGCCGAUUCCGGUAACGGACGAGCGCAAGUCGAAUGCAGGCUGGUACGCCGUUUCCGGCUGCAAUCACGGGAGUCAGUUUCAGUGGACAUCAACAUCAAAUCAAAGCUUUCCUGCUACGAGAUUUCGACGAUUUUAACGAUGAGUUUAUUUGGUUCGGGACGACAUUCGGAGAUGUCCAGGACGAUAUCUUGACCAAUGCUGCCGGAAACAUCAAGUAACUGACUUGGAUCAGGGGCAGAACAACAGCAGCAAGCUAGCGGUGACAUAACCAGGGUCGCAUCAGACGCCGAUGGGAAUCUAUUUAAGUUCAAGGUGCGGCACAUCCAGGAUUUGAGAGCCGGGCCUGAUUAUGUUUGAGAAGGGCGCUGGCAGACAGGCACAGGGGUUGUUUCCGGGGGCGAUGGCCAAAGGUUAAGGCGAUCUCAGCAGAUUAAACUGCAUUUGCAAGCAUCGGUAAUCAGUGACUUGCGUCGGCAGAUGACAGCAUUCAAGAAUUUUUCAAUCAAGUAAGUUUAGCAAUUCAAGUCCCGGCUCGGACCAACACAGCUGUGAUCGUUUCUCUUCUGGAUUCGAUUGCAAGCUGGAUCUUA